CCCGCUGAACUUAAGCAUAUCAAUAAGCGGAGGAAAAGAAACUAACAAGGAUUCCCCUAGUAACGGCGAGUGAAGCGGGAUGAGCUCAAAUUUGAAAUCUGGCUAGUUUUUACUGGUCCGAGUUGUAAUUUAAAGAAACGUUUUCGGUGGCAGGCCGGGUAUAAAUCCUUUGGAACAGGGUAUCAUAGAGGGUGAGAAUCCCGUCUUUGACUCGGCACGGUUGCUACUAUGUGAUACGUUUUCAAAGAGUCGAGUUGUUUGGGAAUGCAGCUCAAAUUGGGUGGUAAAUUUCAUCUAAGGCUAAAUAUUGGCGAGAGACCGAUAGCGAACAAGUACCGUGAGGGAAAGAUGAAAAGAACUUUGAAAAGAGAGUUAAACAGUGCGUGAAAUUGUUGAAAGGGAAACGUUUGAUACCAGUCAUGCGAGUGAGAAAUCAGUCAAUUGUGGCAGGGGGUUGUCAGGGGUUUCAUGGACCGCAAGGCCAGCCUCUGCAGGAUCUCUGCUGCAAGUGAUGCACUUUUUCACGUUGCAGGUCAACAUCAGUUUCUCCUGCUGGACAAAACUCCAAGAGAAGGUAGCAGCUUUGGCUGUGUUAUAGCUCUGGAGCGAUACAGUGGGGGGGACUGAGGAUGUUUUUUGCAGCGUGUGCUCCUCUUUUGGGAGGGGCAAGGCUGACUGGGCGCUGUGGGAUUGUUCGGCGUACAAUGCAUGCAUUUUGCGCAGUGUCUUUUCCACACUCGCUCAACUCGGUUCUUCCACGCUUAGGAUGUUGACUUAAUGGUCUUAAACGACCCGUCUUGAAACACGG
rnacentral:rRNA from 1 species